rnacentral:misc_RNA from 1 species
AACUUUUGGCAACGGAUCACUUGGUUCCCGCAUCGAUGAAGAACGCAGCAAAAUGCGAUAAGUAAUGUGAAUUGCAGAAUUUAGUGAAUCAUCGAAUCUUUGAACGCACAUUGCGCUCCUUGGUAUUCCGAGGAGCAUGCCUGUUCGAGCGUCAUUGGCAAAAUCUCAAGCUUAAGCUUGGUUUUGGGCUACACCUUAAGUAUUUUUACAUAGGGUGAGUCUUAAAGCUAGUAGCGGUGUUUAGUAUACUUGCGUGAAGCAAUAUUAACAAUAGUUUAUUAAAUUAACGCUGUCACAACCCCAUUUUAAACAAUGUCUGACCUCGGAUCAGGUAGGGAUACCCGCUGAACUUAAGCAUAUCAAUAAGCGGAGGCU